UAUCGAGCAUAGGUCGCUGUAGGCCAUAUGGGUUGGUUGUCCUCUUAACCAAAGAGUGUGGAGACACUGGUAUGACAUACAGGUGAGAUGUACUGGUACAUCAUCAUUGAACGUGACCAACUCUAGAGUAUUCUGUUGUCGAGAAUGUCUCUGAUGGGAUAUAGGUAUAAGUGUCCCUUAGACUUGAGAUCGCCUCAGUGACUUGCAAGCAACUCACUGUGCUUUGGUACUAGAC
rnacentral:lncRNA from 1 species